AUACCUUUCUCGGCCUUUUGGCUAAGAUCAAGUGUAGUAUCUGUUCUUAUCAGUUUAAUAUCUGAUAGUGGGUCAUUGGCCCACAUGAUAUUAAAUUAAUUUUUUAUUGGGGAGGGCCCAUUCCAGCAGCUUGCUGCUGGGAUCCUUACACGUCGCCCUUGCGUUGCACUGUUGCAUGUGGGCCUGGCGCACCCUAC